UACGAAGGGGGCUAGCGUUGUUCGGAAUCACUGGGCGUAAAGCGCACGUAGGCGGCUUUUUAAGUCAGGGGUGAAAUCCCGGAGCUCAACUCCAGAACUGCCUUUGAUACUGAGAAGCUUGAGUCUGGGAGAGGUGAGUGGAACUGCGAGUGUAGAGGUGAAAUUCGUAGAUAUUCGCAAGAACACCAGUGGCGAAGGCGGCUCACUGGCCCGGUACUGACGCUGAGGUGCGAAAGCGUGGGGAGCAAACAGG
rnacentral:rRNA from 1 species